GGGCGAGUGGCGGAAUGGCAGACGCUGGGGAUUUAAAAUCCCCUAUCCGCAAGGAUGUGCGGGUUCGAGUCCCGCCUCGCCCA
rnacentral:tRNA from 2 species